rnacentral:lncRNA from 1 species
GCCUGUUAGUCCAACAGAUACACUACCAAGAAGCCAAAAGCAAUGAGAAGUUGAAGAAAAACUGGAUAUCAAGAGAUGUUCUUUGAAAGGAGUAGCUCCAAAAGUAGCAGUUCUGAUUCCUAGGAAGUAGGAACAGUUUUAGAUGUUACAUAUUGAUGGGAAAGCUUCUGACAAACACAUGUGCUUUGUUUCAAUGCUUGUCACGAUGAUUAAAUUCUGAACUAAAUUCCUUCCAUUCAGACAUAAUGGAGGAUAUUGAUUCAACUUCUAUAAACUCAUUCAUGUCAGGAACUUGCAGUGAUUCUUCCAAACGAAAAGGAUGAUCAAAUAUGAAUCCAUUUUAUUAGACUAAUAAAAUGACUGGCCUAAUCCAUUGAGUUCUUUCUUUCUCCCUCCUUUUGUUGCAUUUGAGGUUCAGUAUGAGGUACGAUCUUUGCAUUCAUCCAUUAGGAAACAAAUAGUAUUGACAUCUUAGCUAUCCAUCAAAUUGGUUCUUUAUUUCAUGAUCCUUAUGACUUCCACUUCAACAAACUACAUUAUUUCCUCACUUGAUAAAAAUUUCAAGUGUUAACACUAGUAUAAUGCUUCCCAAAUUGCUCAGUUAUUAUAAUGAUGGAACCAUAUCUUGUUUGAAGGAUAAAGAUAUAUUUCUACUAGAAAUCUACAAUUUGAUGGAAAUUUGAGCAACAGCCCAGAAUUUUAAAUUCUACCCGUCCUUUCUGUUCUAUUUUCUUUUUUCUUUGGCCUCAUGAUCUUCCACAUCAAUGAAUAGUUGAAUAAUACGAAAAGUUGUCUGACUACGGAAGAAGUGAAGUCCACUGUACAAAUUAAUCUAAAGGGAAAAAAAGCCUCAUGUAUCAACCUUCAACAAAACUUUUAAGCAAAAUGGUUUAACUUAUUUAAGAAGAUAAAGUUGCACCACCGAAGUUCAUAGGCCAUAAAGCAGCAAGUUGUUUAUAUAAAAAAAUGCUUGUACGCUGGUAAUGACCAUAAUGGAUAUUGAAUUGCAUAGAGUUUUCUAUGCCUUCAAGGAGUUAUGGGUAGAAAGAGAUUUCACAUUGAUUUAGCUCAUAAAACAUAAACUUUCAGGUAGUAAUAGCUCUGAUGGCCCUCAGCCAAGGUAUUAGAAUCAUGAAAAACAAUGUGUCAGAGUAUCUAAAACUUACAUGAGAGGUUAAAUAGAUGGUAAGGCAAACUCUUACUUCAAUAGAGACAAUAGAAUGAGAACAAGCAACUUCUAUGACUCUUCAGCCCUGAUCCUAGUUAAGAUGAAGUUGAUUUUAUAGUUAUGGUAAACAUAAUCAUGGCAAAAUUUAUUGAUCCUCCAAGUUUUGUCUUAUGAAAAUACUUCUCAAUGAAAAUUUUGCACUAACCGGAAAUAGAUUUUCAGAAAAGAGACAGAGGAAACAGUAUCAUCAGUCAAGUGGGUAUGGUGAAUAACUUAAAAAGUGAAUAGCCUUAUCCUCACUAACCGCUUUGAUACCUUAAUCUGAAACUAUAUCCUGAGAUGUGUAUUGGAUCCAUACCCAGGAAAAAGAAAAUAGCAUCUUAAAACUCUAGCAUGCAUUCUAAUCUGUGCUUACAAUAAGAUGAUAAGAGAAAGGAAUAAGAUUGCGAAGUAGGUUUUAUGGCUUCAGGAGGACAAAAGGAAUGAAAUCUAGAACUAGGGAAAAAAGGAAAAAAUAAAGAAAAGAUAAGAAGGUGGAGAUUAGUA